rnacentral:rRNA from 1 species
GAUGAACGCUAGCUACAGGCUUAAUACAUGCAAGUCGAGGGACCGGCGCACGGGUGAGUAACACGUAUCCAACCUGCCCUUUACUCGGGGAUAGCCUUUCGAAAGAAAGAUUAAUACCCGAUGUAAAGGAUGGGGAUGCGUUCCAUUAGGUUGUUGGUGAGGUAUCGGCCCACCAAGCCUUCGAUGGAUAGGGGUUCUGAGAGGAAGGACCCCCACAUUGGAACUGAGACCCGGUCCAAACUCGUAGGGGAGGCAGCAGUGAGGAAUAUUGGUCAGUGGGCGUUAGCCUGAACCAGCCAAGUAGCGUGAAGGAUGAAGGCUUAUGGGUCGUAAACUUCUUUUAUAUAAGAAUAUGUAUUAUAUGAAUAAGGAUCGGCUAACUCCGUGCCAGCAGCCGCGGUAAUUC